GCCCCGCCUGGGCGAGUCACUGAGCCGCAAGGCUAAAACUCAAAGGAAUUGACGGGGGCCCGCACAAGCGGCGGAGCAUGCGGAUUAAUUCGAUGCAACGCGAAGAACCUUACCAAGGCUUGACAUGUUCUCGAUCGCCGUAGAGAUACGGUUUCCCCUUUGGGGCGGGUUCACAGGUGGUGCAUGGUUGUCGUCAGCUCGUGUCGUGAGAUGUUGGGUUAAGUCCCGCAACGAGCGCAACCCUCGUUCCAUGUUGCCAGCACGUCGUGGUGGGGACUCAUGGGAGACUGCCGGGGUCAACUCGGAGGAAGGUGAGGACGACGUCAAAUCAUCAUGCCCCUUAUGUCUUGGGCUUCACGCAUGCUACAAUGGCCGGUACAAUGGGUUGCGAUACUGUGAGGUGGAGCUAAUCCCAAAAAGCCGGUCUCAGUUCGGAUUGGGGUCUGCAACUCGACCCCAUGAAGUCGGAGUCGCUAGUAAUCGCAGAUCAGCAACGCUGCGGUGAAUACGUUCCCGGGCCUUGUACACACCGCCCGUCAAGUCACGAAAGUUGGUAACACCCGAAGCCGGUGGCCUAACCCUUGUGGGGGGAGCUGUCGAAGGUGGGACCAGCGAUUGGGACUAAGUCGUAAAAAGGGUAACCCGAA
rnacentral:rRNA from 1 species